rnacentral:rRNA from 1 species
AUUGAACGCUGGCGGCAUGCUUUACACAUGCAAGUCGAACGGCAGCGCGGGCUUCGGCCUGGCGGCGAGUGGCGAACGGGUGAGUAAUACAUCGGCACGUGCCCAGUAGUGGGGGAUAGCUCGGCGAAAGCCGGAUUAAUACCGCAUACGACCUGAGGGUGAAAGCGGGGGAUCUUCGGACCUCGCGCUAUUGGAGCGGCCGAUGGCAGAUUAGCUAGUUGGUGGGGUAAAGGCCUACCAAGGCGACGAUCUGUAGCUGGUCUGAGAGGACGACCAGCCACACUGGGACUGAGACACGGCCCAGACUCCUACGGGAGGCAGCAGUGGGGAAUUUUGGACAAUGGGCGAAAGCCUGAUCCAGCAAUGCCGCGUGUGUGAUGAAGGCCUUCGGGUUGUAAAGCACUUUUGGCGGGAACGAAAAGGACUGUGCCAAUACCACGGUUCGAUGACGGUACCCGCAGAAUAAGCACCGGCUAACUACGUG